GACGAACGCUGGCGGCGUGCUUAACACAUGCAAGUCGUACGGUAAGGCCCUUUCGGGGGUACACGAGUGGCGAACGGGUGAGUAACACGUGAGUAACCUGCCCACAACUUUGGGAUAACGCUAGGAAACUGGUGCUAAUACUGGAUAUGUGCUCCUGCUGCAUGGUGGGGGUUGGAAAGCUCCGGCGGUUGUGGGUGGACUCGCGGCCUAUCAGCUUGUUGGUGGGGUAGUGGCCUACCAAGGCGGCGACGGGUAGCCGGCCUGAGAGGGUGACCGGCCACAUUGGGACUGAGAUACGGCCCAGACUCCUACGGGAGGCAGCAGUGGGGAAUAUUGCACAAUGGGCGCAAGCCUGAUGCAGCAACGCCGCGGGCGGGAUGACGGCCUUCGGGUUGUAAACCGCUUUCAGCAGGGACGAAGCUUUUUGUGACGGUACCUGCAGAAGAAGCACCGGCUAACUACGUG
rnacentral:rRNA from 1 species